rnacentral:rRNA from 1 species
ACGUAGGGUGCGAGCGUUAAUCGGAAUUACUGGGCGUAAAGCGUGCGCAGGCGGUUGUGCAAGACAGAGGUGAAAUCCCCGGGCUCAACCUGGGAAUGGCGAUGGAUACUGGGCAGCUAGAGUGUGUCAGAGGAUGGUGGAAUUCCCGGUGUAGCGGUGAAAUGCGUAGAGAUCGGGAGGAACAUCAGUGGCGAAGGCGGCCAUCUGGGACAACACUGACGCUGAGGAGCGAAAGCAUGGGGAGCGAACAGGA